UACAGAGGUCUCAAGCGUUGUUCGGAUUCAUUGGGCGUAAAGGGUGCGUAGGCGGCGCGGUAAGUCGGGUGUGAAAUCUCGGGGCUUAACUCCGAAACUGCAUUCGAUACUGCCGUGCUUGAGGACUGGAGAGGAGACUGGAAUUUACGGUGUAGCGGUGAGAUGCGUAGAUAUCGUAAGGAAGACCAGUGGCGAAGGCGGGUCUCUGGACAGUUCCUGACGCUGAGGCACGAAGGUCAGGGGAGCAAACGGG
rnacentral:rRNA from 1 species